AAUAAAUCUAAAUUUUCAUUUCCCUCCAACAAGAUUCACUUCCCCCAUCAAUUCAAAUGAAAGACCUUAGCCUCCCUUUACAUACUCAGCCUUUAAACCGCAACCCUAAUCCCUGACAAUCUAGUAUGACGAUGGUGGAUAUGACAGUGGUUCCGGUUGUAAUGUUACAGUGACUGAUGUUUAGGUCGAAGGUGAUGGUGUCAUGAAGGUGGGUGUGCAGGAGAGGUUGUUGUUGACGGUGGGUAGGAGCUACAGGAAAGAUGGAGGAAGCACCUAAGGUUUGAGGAGGCGAUUCCGAUCCCAGGCGUUCCGUGUGACGAUGUGGAGGUUUUCAGCUUCCUCUAUUCCAUUCGAAUAUUAGAUUGGCUUGCUGUAAGCUUCAAUAAAGAUGAAGGCAUAGAUCUGCUUAAGGGCAAGCAAGCAUCACAAGACUGAGACAACUGAAAAGACUAAAAUGGAGCUUUCAACUUUGACACAAGAAAAUAUUAGCUCUCAGAUGGAUUGAUCUUAGAUAACAUCAUUGGCUAUAUGAUCUGGGAAUGGGCUUUUAUUGAAGGGCGGAAAGGAAGCAAGAUGGUCCAACCAAAAAUGAGGCCAGUACAAGUUGAAGCAAGAGUCGUCUCAACCAAAAUUGAGGUUGCGCGUCUUCUUGGAGAUAAUGCCUUGGCUAUUGAAGUAGUAUCUGGUGCUUGGUUGCAGGAUAUUCGCCCAAAGGCGAAUAAGUUGCCGGUAGGACCACGCAUGGUCAGAAAUCUGAAUUUUCCAAGAUGCACUCACGAUGAAAAUUUAUCAAUCACAAAGAACCCGAACCCAAACGCAACAGGAAGUUAAUAAAAAUGUGUUGAAGACAUGCCAUGCUUUAUUAUUUGGUCAUAGUUUUUGCAGCACUUUCAAGUCGAAAAGCAGUGACUAUAUAGACACGAAGAAAACAACCUAUAAAUAGUUUUUAGUUUAUGUGUAUUGUCAUUUAUCUUUUCAACUUUUGUAGAUAGAUUUUAUCAGAAGUUUGUUAUUAGUAAUUAAGUUGAAAACUUAUGUAUGAAUUUUGGUUUAUUAUUGUUAAUAUCAUUUGGUUUUAGGUUUU